UACGUAGGGUGCGAGCGUUGUCCGGAAUUAUUGGGCGUAAAGAGCUUGUAGGCGGUUUGUCGCGUCUGCUGUGAAAUCCCAAGGCUCAACCUUGAGCUUGCAGUGGGUACGGGCAGACUAGAGUGUGGUAGGGGAGACUGGAAUUCCUGGUGUAGCGGUGAAAUGCGCAGAUAUCAGGAAGAACACCCGUGGCGAAGGCGGCUUUCUGGGACGGUACUGACGCUGAGACGCGAAAGCGUGGGGAUCAAACAGG
rnacentral:rRNA from 1 species